rnacentral:rRNA from 1 species
GCAUACGACCUACGGGUGAAAGUGGGGGAUCGCAAGACCUCACGCUAUUGGAGCGGCCGAUGUCAGAUUAGGUUGUUGGUGGGGUAAAAGCCUACCAAGCCGACGAUCUGUAGCUGGUCUGAGAGGACGACCAGCCACACUGGGACUGAGACACGGCCCAGACUCCUACGGGAGGCAGCAGUGGGGAAUUUUGGACAAUGGGCGCAAGCCUGAUCCAGCCAUGCCGCGUGCGGGAAGAAGGCCUUCGGGUUGUAAACCGCUUUUGUCAGGGAAGAAACGGUCUGUGUUAAUACCGCGGACUAAUGACGGUACCUGAAGAAUAAGCACCGGCUAACUACGUGCCAGCAGCCGCGGUAAUACGUAGGGUGCAAGCGUUAAUCGGAAUUACUGGGCGUAAAGCGUGCGCAGGCGGCUUUGCAAGACAGAUGUGAAAUCCCCGGGCUCAACCUGGGAACUGCAUUUGUGACUGCAAGGCUGGAGUACGGUAGAGGGGGAUGGAAUUCCGCGUGUAGCAGUGAAAUGCGUAGAUAUGCGGAGGAACACCGAUGGCGAAGGCAAUCCCCUGGACCGACUCAGAAUAUGGAGCGCGACCGCCAGAUGCUUCAAGGCAUGGCUUAGAGUACUUCAGUAGUCAU